ACCCGAGUGGUUUAGUCGGUUAAAUGUCUGACUUUGGUUCAGGUCAUGAUCUCACAGUUCGUGAGUUCAAGCCCCACAUUGGGCU
rnacentral:tRNA from 1 species